UGGUUGGAGGUUUUCCAGCGUUAGUGUUUGUCUCGUGGUUUUUGACUUUAUUGUACGCCCCCAGUAAUAACUGUUAACCUGUCAUGUAGGUAACGUUGUACUCGGUGGCAUUUUUAAGUGGAAGCUCUUUAGAGCUAAUAAGCGUUAGCCUAGCAGGCCUCAUCCACGUGCAACAGAUCGCGUGUUGGCCUGCGGAUCGUUAGAUCCUGUUUUAAAAGCAGCCUCAGUGCAGUUUAGUCCCGCUUACAUAUGAUGACAUAAUGUUGCUAGGGACAUCUGAGUCGAUGUGAAGUAAAGGCAACAUUCCUGACAAGACGGGGCAAAGGCUGUGAGAAACUGGGCCGGUUAUCUUAGCUGCAUGGCUCCUGCUGCUGGCCAUGCAGCGUAUUUAGUGGGUGUGUAUAACUUUGUGUGAAGUUAUGAGGAUUUUAAUUUAAAAUAUGUUAACCUUCCUGUCGUGUUUGGGUUAAAUCUGACAGAUUAACAACUUAAAACACUCAAAAAUACAGACGGCUCUUCAAAGAUGAAGGAUCACGAUGCUCAUCCUGACUUCUCGACAUCAGCAGAUGCUCGAUGGUGCCGUGAAAGCCCAGAGAUGUGACUGGUCUGUAGGGGACUGAGGAGGUGUCCUCAGGUCCGAGUCCUAACGCUAACAGACGGUCCUGAUGUUGGAUCCAGAUGUGCAUUCUUGGAUCAGCUGCAGGAGUCCCACAAAAGGCAAAGUGGAGAUGUGAACACCUUGCUGUCUGACUCGUUGCUGCUCUGCUGAACGAGCGGGCUCGCGACUCAUCACCAUUCAGAAGAUGAUUAAACACUCAUGGUUGUUCUCUGUGUGAGGGAUGGAGACCCAGUGUGGACCACACCAGAGUGACUGAGAUGUGGAAAAGUUCAAGUUCUUUACCUGGUGUGACGCCUCAGGCACUGAAGCACAAUCAAGCACAAGUCUGUCACUUCAUAAUAAAUCUAAAUGGUGCCGUUUCCUCAAAAGCUGGAAAGUGAUGUUGACAGAUUUUCACCUGCAGGAAUCAGUGUUCAGACCCUGCUCGUGCUAUUACGUCUGGAUUGUGACCUGAUCCUGUUGACGUCAAUUUGUAACAAUAAAAUAUUUGUUAUUGACUCAUUUGUGUGCAUCUGUUUUUCUCCUCCCUUUCUCGAUGGGUGAUGUGUUUGAGCGCCAAAUGAACUGAUCUUAUAUUACUAAACCAGUUGUGCAAACAGUGGCGUAGUAAAGUCUAAUGACACAACUAUGAAAAGUAAAUAAGAUUGAGAGCAAGUGUACGACUUUUCGCCGGAAGUGACGUUAUGUAAUGGAAUGGAGUUCGAUUUGGUCACUUGCUGACCUCCCGAGGGCGGGAAUAUCUAGCUGGCGUUGCUGACCGUGGGUUGUUUGUGGACACGCAAGCCUCGUACCUCGGUAGCGUGACAUUUGCCGUAUGGCGCUGCAGUACAGGCUUCGCUCCCAUUAAAAUGGCUCCAAUCAAAUUUGACGUGAGCAGUAGGGAAUGGGGUAGUAACCGCCCCUCCGCCCGCCCGCGGCGAACCGCACAACAAGCGCCCCUCUUUGGCUUCAGCAGGGAGACGUUGUCGGGGGCGGGGAGGGGUAUCCCAGUCAAAGCAGGCCGCCGGUGGACCACCGCGUUCAGAUAAAUGGGAGAGCAGAAACAGGACUUCGUGUUCAGUGUCGUUUGGACCGCUUCACGUCAGCCUGUUCGCGAUGUCUGCGCGGUGCUUUCUCCUGCUGCUCUGGGCUGUCUCGGCACAGGCCGACUUCUUCCAUUUCGAUAGCAUUAGCAACGUCUCUACUUACUAUUUUAAUUAUAUUUAUUGCAAUAUCUGGGAGGGGGAGUGUCAGCCCAAUCAGGAUGAUGCCACCCAGCAAGUUCCUACCAGGGAUAUCUGGGCAGGGUUUCCUCAGGACUACAUGAGCCUGCUGCAUCAGUGGUACUGUAGCCUGGGUCAGUGCUGCGAGUCCGGAGACUGCAGGAUAACCAACAACAUCACAGGUCUAGCAAGAGACCUUCAGACGAAGCUCCACGGGCAACAUCUGGCUCAGUCUGUGGUUCUGAAAGCCAUCCAGGGUUUCAUCAACAACCCCGAGUCCAACAAGCCCCUGACGCUCUCCUUCCACGGCUGGUCUGGCACAGGCAAGAACUUUGUGGCCCGGAUCAUUGCUGAUAACUUGUACCGGGACGGGGUGAAGAGCGAGUGUGUCCGUUUGUUCAUCGCUCCGUUCCACUUCCCGCACGCCAGGCUGGUGGACACGUACAAGGGUCAGCUGAGAGAAGCAAUUCGAGACAUGGUGCUGCGCUGCCCUCAGACUCUGUUCAUCUUCGAUGAGGCUGAAAAGCUUCAUCCGGGCCUCAUCGACGCAAUCAAGCCCUUCAUGGAUCACUAUGACAACGUAGAUGGGGUCAGCUACCGCAGGGCCAUCUUCCUCUUCCUCAGUAACAUUGGUGGUGCAACAAUCAACGACGUGGCGCUGGACUUCUGGCACUCUGGCCAGAAUCGAGAGGACAUCGGUAUGGAAGACCUGGAGCAUCGGCUGCGAGCUGAGACGAUGGAGUCUCAAGGUGGCUUUGCUCAGAGUGAGCUGAUGUCUGGUCACCUGAUUGACUUCUUUGUGCCCUUUCUGCCCCUGGAGUACCGUCACAUUAAGCUCUGUGCACGGGACGCAUACGCAGCACGAGGUCUGGAAACAGAUGAAGCCACGCUGGAUGAGGUGGCCAAGGCAAUGCUGUAUGUUCCCAAAGAGGAGAGACUGUUCUCAGCCCAAGGAUGCAAGUCCAUACCUCAGAGGAUCAACUUCUUUCUUCCCUAGAGCGAGGAGGAAACAGAGAGACGGACCUGGAGGUGUAAGAUUGCUUUACCAGCCCAUCAGAGCCACAGAGAUGUGUCUUCUUUGCUCUGCACUGCAUACUUCCCCCUCCCCCCACAGAUGCAACAUGUGUCUGUCCAGGUCCCGUCACAGAAGGCCAGACAUCAGGGCAGAUCCAGGAUUAGAGGGCAGAGCAGCGUGACCCAGCCUGCAGAGAUGGGCAGCGUCACAGGAAGUGUGGCUGCUCUUCUUCACCUGCCUGGUUUGAAUCCUGUCAAGACGAAGGGGUGAAGAAGAUGGUGUCUGUGCAGAGUGUGGCGCAGAGGGAGACUUUUUUUUCCUUUUCACUAUUUAUAUCUAAUCCCCUCGGCCAAAGUCUGACUCGCACUGUUGUUUGUGUUCAUAUGAGUUUGUAAUUCAUGUGUUACUAGUGGCAUGUCAAACAUUGUGCUUAUAUCAGCACAGAUUAUUUAUUAAUAUCAUUUGUGCCAUAUUUGAACAUUUUACUGGACCAGAUUAGUUUCGUGGAGUACUCUAAAUGUGCACUUAUUUUAUUUUGUUAGAUUUUUUUAUUCUUUUUAAAAUGAACGUGCAAGGACCAGUGGUGAUGGAAGUGUUACUUGAAGCUCUUACUGUGAAGGACUUUGUCUCUAAAGCAUUGGACCUCUGGAAACUCACCCUUUUACAUACUUGUGUUUUAUAAAAACAUUUUAUAGGUUUUACUGUACUGUUACUUAAUAUACAGUUGUUACUUAGUGGUGUGCUUUACUCUUUUGUUGGUAUAAUUCAUUUAUCAUCAACACAGUCUGCUUCAAAGCUGAGGGUCACAUCACAAUAAGAACACAGAGAGAACCUGUCAGACACGGUUUAAAGAAAUAAAAACCUGGUAAACAACAA